rnacentral:rRNA from 1 species
UGAUUUCUGUAUGAAAGGCAUCACCAGGGCUUAACUGUCUCCUCCUCCCAAUCAAUUAAAUUGAUCUCCCCGUGCAGAAGCUGGGAUAAUACCAUAAGACGAGAAGACCCUAUGGAGCUUUAAACAUAUCAGGUUUACGUCACUGCCCCCUAGAUAAAGGAGUGAACUAAUUAUAUACCUUGAAAAUGUUUUUGGUUGGGGCGACCACGGGAAAAGAAAUAACUCCCACGGCGAAGAAGUACAAACUUUUAAAGCUAAGACAAUCAAGUCUAAGCCAUAGAAAUUCUAACAAAUGAUCCGGCUUGCCGAUCAACGAAACGAGUUACCCUAGGGAUAACAGCGCAAUCCCCUUUAAGAGACCUUAUCAGCAANGAGGUUUACAACCUCAAUGUUGGAUCAAGGACAUCCUAAUGGUG